rnacentral:rRNA from 1 species
GGAGCAAUCCUGGUGGCGAGUGGCGAACGGGUGAGUAAUGUAUCGGAACGUACCUUUCAGUGGGGGAUAACGUAGCGAAAGUUACGCUAAUACCGCAUAUUCUGUGAGCAGGAAAGCAGGGGAUCGCAAGACCUUGCGCUGAUUGAGCGGCCGAUAUCAGAUUAGCUAGUUGGUGAGGUAAAGGCUCACCAAGGCGACGAUCUGUAGCGGGUCUGAGAGGAUGAUCCGCCACACUGGAACUGAGACACGGUCCAGACUCCUACGGGAGGCAGCAGUGGGGAAUUUUGGACAAUGGGCGCAAGCCUGAUCCAGCCAUGCCGCGUGAGUGAAGAAGGCCUUCGGGUUGUAAAGCUCUUUCGGCCGGGAAGAAAUCGCAUGGGUUAAUACCCUGUGCGGAUGA